rnacentral:rRNA from 1 species
GAUGAACGCUGGCGGCGUGCCUAAUACAUGCAAGUCGAGCGAACAGACGAGGAGCUUGCUCCUCUGAUGUUAGCGGCGGACGGGUGAGUAACACGUGGAUAACCUACCUAUAAGACUGGGAUAACUUCGGGAAACCGGAGCUAAUACCGGAUAACAUUUUGAACCGCAUGGUUCAAUAGUGAAAGAUGGUCUUGCUGUCACUUAUAGAUGGAUCCGCGCCGGAUUAGCUAGUUGGUAAGGUAACGGCUUACCAAGGCAACGAUGCGUAGCCGACCUGAGAGGGGGGUCGGCCAACCUGGAACUGAGACACCGUCCCGACUCCUAAGGGAGGCAGGCGGAGGGAAACUUCCGGAAUGGGGGGAAGCCUGACCGAGCAAACGCGGGGGAGGUGAAGAAGUCCUUGGAUCGGUAAACCUCUGUAAUAGGGAAAAACCAAAGGGGAAGGUAACGAUGACGGCCUGAAGGUAACUAAACAGGAAGGCCCGGCUAAAUUAGGU